rnacentral:tRNA from 1 species
GGGUCGGUGGCAGAGCGGUCAAAUGCACGAGACUGUAAAUCUCGCGUCUCACGACUACGUAGGUUCGAAUCCUACCCGGCCCA